UACGUAGGGGGCAAGCGUUGUCCGGAUUUAUUGGGCGUAAAAGGCUUGUAGGUGGCCACGCCAAGUCGGCUGUGAAAUCUCCCGGCUCAACUGGGAGGGGUCAUUCGACACUGGCGGGCUCGAGGCCGGUAGGGGGAAGUGGAAUUCCCGGUGUAGUGGUGAAAUGCGUAGAUAUCGGGGGGAACACCAGUGGCGAAGGCGGCCCUCUGGGGUGUACCUGACGCUGAGGCGCGAAAGCGUGGGGAGCGAACCGG
rnacentral:rRNA from 1 species